rnacentral:rRNA from 1 species
CGGACCUCCGAUCAAACAAGAGG